UUAGAUACCCUGUUACUUAUUUUAGGAAACUUUGGAUUAGUAUUAGUAAAGAAAUUUAACGGAUUUGGCGGCAAGAUAGCUUUUUAGAGGAACCUGCCCUGUAAACGAUGAGCCACGAAUAAUCUUACUUCUCCUGGUAAUCAGUUUGUAUACCGCUGUUGUCAGUCAAAUCUUAAAAGACAUUUUCUUUUUGAAAAAAUCAGUGACUUCAAGUAAAGGUGCAGCUAAUGGAAAAGAUAGAGGUGGGUUACAAUUAAAAGAAUAAUACGGAAAAAGGCUGAGAAUAAGCUUUUUAAAAGGUGGAUUUAACUGUAAGAUUUAAUAAGAUCUGGUGAUAGCUCUAUCUUGUG
rnacentral:rRNA from 1 species